GGAGCUUCUAAGCUGAGGGGCUGCAGAGGACUGCCUGGCUGUCUCCUGAACUGGCAAGGGCCCUGCAAUUUGCUGUUUCAAGAGCACAGAUUUAUGGAAGAAUGGAAUAUAACUGAUUCAGUGAAGAAAGACUGAGCCUCAAAGAAAGGAAGAGACCUACUACAGCAUUUGUCACAAGUGAAAUAAUAUUAUUGAGCUGUUUAUGAAGUGGAAAUUCUCUUUGGGUCAAUGAAGACAAUAUCCAUAAUUCUGAUUCCCUGGAUCAACAGGCUUUCCAAAUAACCCACGUUUAUUCUUAUUGACAACCAUUAAGUCAUUCUGAGGUAUGCUGUGCUGUGAAAACUCAAACAUCUCGUAAAGAAAAAUAAAAAUAUUUCUUUGCUCUACUGCAAAUAAUAUGCCAACAGUUUGAAGGAAAAUUAUUCAAUAGACAGACAUAUCUAUUGGAUUCAUUUUAUGUACUGAAUAGAAAUGUUUCAUUUCUGAAAAUAACACAAUUCCCUCAAAAGACUAAUGAUUUUAACAGAAGUAUUUGCCUCCAGAAAAGUGACCUGAAGUGAUUUAUUCUUGCCUAUUGUAGAUUAUAUCGGUUCUCAGAAUAUAGAACAAGGCCACUUUAGCAAGGUACUUAUGCAUGUGCUUACCUUUAUUACUGCAUUUAUAUGUUAUAAGAACGUUAACAGAAUUGGGGGGUCAAAUUUCAGGUCUGCUAGGGUAUAGGUUCAAUGCAGCUGUUUACCUAAGAAAUAAAUAUGCUGGGAAUCUUUACUCACAUGCUUACAACACUGCAGUAAAAACUUAAUUGAAAAAACUCACACUGCUGCCCUCUCCUUUACUUGUUAAUGAAAUCUAAAAGGUAUCAAUGAACAAGAUGAGACAGUGUUCAAAACACAAAUGUCAUGCAUAACAAGAACCAGGCUUGAAUCUGACAAAAAUUUAAAUUUGUGAAUUAGAUAGGACCUGUUAUUACACUUUGUAAAAGCACAUCAGUGCCAUUCUGAACCUUUGUCUCUUAGGUUGUUGAAAAAGUAUAAAAAGAAAAUAAAGAUCAGUUUUAAUUA